GUGUUUGACAGAGUUGUUGCUCUCUGCAGUACUGAGGCACCACACGUUACUCGUACCUACUCUGUGACUGAUCUGUUUUCUGAAAAAGCAUCAUUUGAAUUGGCUCAAAAAGCAAUGGCUACAUUUGCCCAAAGCCAACUCAAUAUUGUACGAAAAAAAUGGCUGACAGAAGAAUGUUCGCUUAAGGUGCGCUGGUGGAGAAUGGUUGCCACUGGGUUUACUGGGGAUAUGUCUAGUGGGAGAUCCAGAACAUGUCAGCCCAACGAGGUAACAGUCCACUCACUUAGAGAGCAUUAACACUAAAUGAGCCCUUGAUGGAAAGGGGAACUUGGUUUGUAAAGCCAGUUGACCAUUUUAUUGCUGUGAAAAAAAAAAAAAAUGUGUUAAAAUGUGUUUUUCUGCCGUUUUUAAUUAUGUUGGUGAUGGCAACCCUCCUACAGACCAAUGGAGACAACGUCAAGCAAAUCAUGUGCAGUACUGUGUGGUACCUUACCAGGUUCUCUCUGUUGUGGACAUAAAAAAAAAUCUUGCAAAACUUCCUUCUAAUAUGACACUACUCUGACCAGGUUCAGUUUUGGAACAAAUUAUAUCUCCACACCUAAGUAAGCAAGGUGAGGCACUGACUGUGAUUCAGCAAUCCUGUAUCAAAUGAUACAAUCUAAUCUCCACCCUUCUUUUCCUUCUGGUAAGGAGCCUCAAGGGCCUGUUUGCUUCAUUUGUCAAUUGGCAGUGGCAAAAGAGACUCUGAGUAGACAUAUCACUUCCAGAGGAAUCACAAAGAGCCAACGACCUGAAAACCCGCAAACUGCAAUGCAUGUUUUCAACUGAUUAGAUGCUGCCUUCCUUGACCCUUUUAAGCAGGCCUGCUGGAUAACGGACAAUGAAACCUAUUCACAAAGCUCACAGCAGACUUCCAGAAUCUACUGAGGUCGACUGAAUCCCUGGAUGCAGAAAGUGGGAGGCUCCAAUACGGAUUUGGAGGACGCAGUCACUGUUUCAAAAGUUGCAGCGACACAACCAGCUCUUCUCUUGAUAUCCUUUUUUUUCAUUGUUUAAGGCUAUUGGCAACUGAAAACUGACCAUCUUUUAAUGACGCAAGAUCACGAUGCGAAGCUGCAGUGUUUAUUUUUGUUUCUUCUAAAGACCCAGCAAUUUGUCAGUCUGUGCAAUCCACAAAUAUUCAUUAAGUGGGAGGUUAAAGGAAAGCCAUCUGUAUUAACAUAUGCGACAAAGAGUGGUGUUUAGUAUUGCUGGGUGUUUAUUGCAGGGUAUUAUCUACAAAUUAAAUGCAGUCAAACAACAACUAUUCAAUCCAGAAAAGUAACUAUUAUUGUUAGAGAACUGUCUCUUCAUAAAAUAGGAAACUUAACAAAUAUGAAACAAAACAAAAGGGAUACCAUGUAAGAAAAAGAAACCAAGGAGCUAUUCUGCUGCCAACUAAAAAAAGGCUAAUAUUCGGAAUACCAUGUUCGCCACACAAAUAUGCAAGCAGAUUCUAUUCUCUUUAACAUUCAACACUCUACUCUCGGACUUGAUAACAGAGGGGUGGAAGGGGGAGGGCGACUACAACAGAAAGCACUGACAUUUAAUGGUUGUUUUACUUGUUUUUCAAAACUAGAAAUAGACAACACGUCACUAUUGAUUAAUAAACUUUUACAAGCUUCAUUUUAACCUCAUACAAUAUCACAGGUUUGAUAAAAAGCUGUUAGUUAAAAACCAGGGCAACAUUUGCACACAAAAUGAAACUUUGUUACCAUAUACAAGGACUUCCUUAAUAAAUUACACAAAAACUGUUGACUAACCAGCUGAACAAACAAGCUACCAUGGAGGUCACUAGUGAUUAUAUACUAUUUCCCUUGAGGAAAACUAUUUACUGUCCAGCUGGGGUUACAUUUCUGGCAUAGACAGGUCUGAAACCUUAAAGACGUUGUGGAGCUCUGAAGGAGCUGUGCACACACAGACUGAGGCAUCUCCAGUGUGAGCUUUUCUACUGCAAAUUGCUUGUUCAUGUGUAUUCGCCACCACACCCAGUGAUACUUAAUGCAAACUCAAAGGCACUGUAUAAAUAAAAUACCCUUUGUUUAACAGAAAGAGUUUCGGGGCAAUGUGCAGUGACAGAUAAAAGCAAUCUGGAAAGUGUUAAGCAAUCCAUCCUUGUUUUUUUUUUUUUUAUUAACAAGUUGUAACUUCAAUACAAAACUUUCUACGGAGAAAUUAUUCUGGAAAUAAUUUAAAUGAAACCUUUAGCAAACGGUUGCUUGCAUCUUGCUCAUUUGCUAAUUAUCAUUUCUCAUACUCUUCCAGCUAACCAAUCAAAAUCGCACAGAAUGUUACUCCCUUGCAGAAAUGGGUUAGGACCCUUGGUAGUGUUUAUUGUUUUGAAAUUGUUUUUAAUUGGAACACAGAAAUUACAGUACAAGCUCAUUUAGAAAGUGCUGGCAAUUGGAUUUCUAAGCGACUGGUGGGCAUCUGUAAAGAGCAAUGCUAAAGACAGGAAGCUGGCAAUUCGUUAUUCUAAUUUCAGAUUUUGACACUUGACAGACACUACAACUGGUGUGCUCACAGUGGAAGGCUGGGUUGAGGUGAGAAUGUAUAAUUACACUGCAACCUACAGCAGGGCUGAAGAGCGCACUGCAUUUCUAUAAAUGUACCCUCAUUCUGACACAUUCUGAGGUUUAUAAUAAACAUGUAUUUUGAUAACAGUUGCUUUGCUCCUUGUGAUU